UUAAGAAUCCAUAGAUAUCAUUCUAGAAAGAUGGUUCAGAAGUCAAGAGCACUGGCUGCUCUUGUAGAGAACUGGGUUUGAUUCUCAGCAUCCACACGGUGGCUCACAACCAUCUGUAACUCUAGUUCCAGGGGACUUGACCCUCUCUUCUGGCCUCCACAGGCACUGAACGCGUGUGCCGUACAGACAUACACACAGGCAACACACACACACACACACACACACACACACACACACACACACACACACACACUAAAAUAAAACAAAAUGAAAAUGUUACCGUGCUAUUUUCUGAGAAGGCUGUGCCAUGGCUGUGUUGAUCUACUCAGGUUCCACUGAACUGUGUGUCCUCAGUUCCUGAAACUUAAUUCUGAUUACUAUAGCUAUCUAUAGUGAUAUAAGUCUUGAAAAUGAGUAGACUGACCCUGCCCACCACUUUAUUAUGUCAAUUGCUUUAGCGUUCUAAUACUGUUGCCUUUGUAUAAAAACUUUUAGAAUAACCUUAUUGAUACCCACACUACUGCUGGGAAUUCAAAACAAACUGUAUUAGAACUGUACCUCUAUUUGGGAAGGAUUGCAAUUCUGACUAGAGUCUUCCAGUCAUCAGGCAUAGUGUGCCAAAUCACUUAUUCACAUCUGCCUUUCUUCUUCCAACAGGACUAUGGCACGUUUUGUUAGACUUACUAUUAAAUACUCCUGUGUUGGUGGUAAAUGGCAUUAUAGUUUAAACUUUGGCGUUCUUAUGUUUAUUGCAAACAUGUAGAUUCAUAACCUACUUUUGUAAGUUUGCCCCAUGUUGGGCAGCCUUACUGGCUACACUUAAUAGCUUCACAAAAUUUAUCUGUGUGUGUGGAUUCUUAGGUGUGUUCCAUGGAGCCAUGUCAUCAAGCCAACAGGGGUGGGUGUCUGUGUCUCUGUGUGGUUGUGUGUCUGUGUGUAUGUCUGUGUUGGGUAUGUAUGUGUGUGUGUCUGUGUGUGUAUAUCUGUGUCUCUGUGUGUGUUUGUGUUAUGUGUGUAUGUCUGUGUUGUGUGGUGUGUGUGUGUGUGUGUGUGUGUGUCUGGAGCGUGUGUGUCUGCUUGGAGAUUUAUCUACUCCUUCUAUUCCCUUAGGCACCACUACCACUGGACCUCUGGUAAGUGUGGCCCUGGCAGCACUGGGAAUGUGUGUCCUCAGGUCUAAAAGUGACAAGAGCCAAGGGGUGGUUGGACAUGUGAGGUAGAGGCAGUGGCCAGUGGAGGACCAGUCUUAAGUCCCAGAGGCCAGGUCCUUUGUUACUCGGGUCUUACAGGUGGCCAUAUCUCUGCUGAAGAGAAAUGUCCACCGGCUACAGUCCAGAGAAAUACGUGAGAUGCUGGGGUCAUGGUCGCACUGCUGGGUCUACGUGGGAGGGGAGCCCCAGAUGCUGGUGUGAUGGAAUACGAGAGUACAGGAGGACGGUGUGCAGGGGUGUCUUUCCUCCAGGGAAAUAUGUGAGAUGCUGGGGUCAUGGUCGCACUGCUGGGUCUACGUGGGAGGGGAGCCCCAGAUGCUGGUGUGAUGGAAUACGAGAGCACAGGAGGACGGUGUGCAGGGGUGUCUUUCCUCCAGGGAAAUAUGUGAGAUGCUGGGGUCAUGGUCGCACUGCUGGGUCUACGUGGGAGGGGAGCCCCAGAUGCUGGUGUGAUGGAAUACGAGAGCACAGGAGGACGGUGUGCAGGGGUGUCUUUCCUCCAGGGAAAUACGUGAGAUGCUGGGGUCAUGGUCGCACUGCUGGGUCUACGUGGGAGGGGAGCCCCAGAUGCAGGAGGACGGUGUGCAGGGGUGUCUUUCCUCCAGGGAAGGGACUUCUGACAGUGGCUCUGGUGGUGGAGUGUGUCGGAAGGCAAAGCGAGCUUCUCCUCUGAAGCAAAGCCACCAGGAUCCAGGCAGGCCCCCUGACUCACUUUAACCCUGAGACAACUGUUGAACUGUCCUCUGGCCAGUUAAUAAUUAACAUAUAAUAACAAUGAUUAUAUAUUAGAUAAUAUAAGAUAUAAUUAAUAAUUAAUAUCAUCUGUGGGGUGAGAGCUUCUGGGACCCUCUUGUCCAGCCCUUCCCUAUACCAUGGGCAGCUUCCUGCAGGGCCCUGGUAGCCAGUAGGGUUUGCGCCCCUCCCCCUGCUCCCAUCCCAGGUAUCAGUGUCUUGAAGAGUCCCUGUGUCUCCUCUGAUUCCAUGCUCUCCCUCGGCCAUGCCACUCCAAUGCAUUUGUUAUUCUUUCUUGUAGAGACAGAGGCCAGCACUGAGCACUUCAAUUUGACCAUCUCAGAAAGGAAAUUUUACCAUUAGAAAGUUUUUGAAUGUAUAGUUUGAGAAUGUUGGGUUUAUGUGCUACUUGGGUUGCUAGCGCUUCUUCUCAUGAGGAAGGGAUCCUCAGGGUAGCGCUCUUUCUCUGUUGGGGAUUUCAAAGUCCAAUUGCGAAAGGAAAGCUGAGCACAAGCAACACACAUUCAUAGAGUGACCACUGAGCGGAGUGUUGGAGCCUUCCUCCCGGAUCGCUCGGUCUGCGGAUCGCUCGGUCUGCGGAUCGCUCUGUCUGCGGAUCGCUCUGUCUGCGGAUCGCUCUGUCUGCGGAUCGCUCUGUCUGCGGAUCGCUCUGCGGAUCGCUCUGUCUGCGGAUUGCUUGGUCUGCGGAUCGCUCUGUUGUCAUGUUAGUGGCAAUGGGACAAGAAGGGGAGGGGGAGGGAGAGGAAGGGAAACGUCAUGCCUUUUCCUGGAGCAAGCAAAGAUUCCUGGAGGAGCGUGAGCACCCUCCCUGUGCUCCCUUACUGGUCCCGUGCUUCCUGGCCCGUCUGCUCGUAGGAGGUGAGGAGCCUUCUAGGCUCUUCUGCAGUGAUGUCUCCCUUACCACUGAGAGCACUGGAACUGGCUGGAGCUGAGCAAGCAGUUCUCGGGAAGACCACAACUCAGGGGCGCCCAAUCAGCAGGCGCCCCGAAGCUGCUUCUCCUUACUACCCUCCCGUCAACAAGCCCCUAACCACUACAGUCUCCAACCAAUCAGCUCUCAGACUAAUCUUGCCUCCACCAAUCAGCACCAGGUUAAUCCCUCCUCCCUGGAAUUCCCCUAACUUAAAAGGAGCUUGCGACCUCCCUUCGGGGUCGCUAUUUACCACCCCAACAUGAUGGAAAUAAACGCUCUUGCUAAAUUG